rnacentral:misc_RNA from 1 species
GAUGAAGAACGUAGCGAAAUGCGAUACGUAGUGUGAAUUGCAGAAUUCCGUGAACCAUCAAAUCUUUGAACGCAUAUUGCGCUCGAGGCUUCGGCCGAGAGCAUGUCUGCCUCAGCGUCGGUAUUACCCCUCGCUUCUCAACCCCUGGUUGAUGCCUGCCUGCCUUUGCAGUUGGCUAGAAGCGGAUCUGGCUUUCCCAAUUGCCUUUGGUAGUUGGGUCAGCUGAAGCACAGAGGCUUGAGCAAGGACCCUUAUUGGGCUUCAACUGGAUAGGUAGAACUGGUCUUAGGACCAACUACACGAGGUUGUUGCUUGUGGUCUUUUGUCUGGAGGCCAGCAGGAAACCUUUAUACCUUCGACCUGAGCUCAGGCAAGAUUACCCGCUGAACUUAAGCAUAUCAAUAAGCGGAGGA